UACGGGGGGGGCAAGCGUUGUUCGGAAUUAUUGGGCGUAAAGGGCGCGUAGGCGGCCUGGCAAGUGGAUGGUGAAAUCCCUCGGCUUAACCGAGGAACUGCCGUCCAAACUGCUUCGCUUGAGACCGGGAGAGGUGAGUGGAAUUCCCAGUGUAGCGGUGAAAUGCGUAGAUAUUGGGAGGAACACCAGUGGCGAAGGCGGCUCACUGGACCGGUACUGACGCUGAUGCGCGAAAGCGUGGGGAGCAAACGGG
rnacentral:rRNA from 1 species